CAGUCGCCGCGGGAAUACGGAGGGGGCUAGCGUUGUUCGGAAUUACUGGGCGUAAAGCGCACGUAGGCGGCUUUGUAAGUCAGAGGUGAAAGCCUGGAGCUCAACUCCAGAAUUGCCUUUGAGACUGCAUCGCUUGAACGUCGGAGAGGUGAUUGGAAUUCCGAGUGUAGAGGUGAAAUUCGUAGAUAUUCGGAAGAACACCAGUGGCGAAGGCGGCUCACUGGACGACUGUUGACGCUGAGGUGCGAAAGCGUGGGGAGCAAACAGGAUUAGAUACCCGAGUAGUCCCUGUCUCUUAUAC
rnacentral:rRNA from 1 species